rnacentral:rRNA from 1 species
CAAGUCGAGCGGCAGCGCGGGGCAACCUGGCGGCGAGCGGCGAACGGGUGAGUAAUGCAUCGGAACGUGUCCAUGUCGUGGGGGAUAGCCCGGCGAAAGCCGGAUUAAUACCGCAUACGCCCGAGAGGGGAAAGUGGGGGACCGCAAGGCCUCACGCGAUUGGAUCGGCCGAUGUCCGAUUAGCUAGUUGGCGGGGUAAGAGCCCACCAAGGCGAUGAUCGGUAGCUGGUCUGAGAGGAUGAUCAGCCACACUGGGACUGAGACACGGCCCAGACUCCUACGGGAGGCAGCAGUGGGGAAUUUUGGACAAUGGGGGCAACCCUGAUCCAGCCAUUCCGCGUGAGUGAAGAAGGCCUUCGGGUUGUAAAGCUCUUUUGUCCGGAACGAAACGGUGGACGUGAAUAUCGUCCACUACUGACGGUACCGGAAGAAUAAGCACCGGCUAACUACGUGCCAGCAGCCGCGGUAAUACGUAGGGUGCGAGCGUUAAUCGGAAUUACUGGGCGUAAAGCGUGCGCAGGCGGUUUUGUAAGCCAGAUGUGAAAUCCCCGGGCUUAACCUGGGAAUGGCAUUUGGGACUGCAAGGCUCGAGUGCGGCAGAGGAGACUGGAAUUCCUGGUGUAGCAGUGAAAUGCGUAGAUAUCAGGAGGAACACCGAUGGCGAAGGCAGGUCUCUGGGCUGACACUGACGCUCAUGCACGAAAGCGUGGGGAGCAAACAGGAUUAGAUACCCUGGUAGUCCACGCCCUAAACGAUGUCGACUGGUUGUUGGGGGUUUGACACUCUCAGUAACGAAGCUAACGCGUGAAGUCGACCGCCUGGGGAGUACGGCCGCAAGGUUAAAACUCAAAGGAAUUGACGGGGACCCGCACAAGCGGUGGAUUAUGUGGAUUAAUUCGA